rnacentral:tRNA from 1 species
GCGGAAGUGGCGAAAUCGGCAGACGCGCAGGAUUUAGGUUCCUGUGCCUUCGGGCGUGGGGGUUCGAUUCCCCCCUUCCGCACCA